UGCUGGACUGAUUCUAUCAUUUCUCCUCCCUACUGACCAUCACAGGGAGGAUCAGGGGUGGGCAAAUGUCUAGGUGUGAGAAGGCAGAGUUGUGGAGCCUUACUGCCACUCAUAAAUUGAUGGGAUGACCUCAGGGGUGAGGAGGAUCUGUGCCCUCAGAAGUCUGCUCCUCAUGUAACAUGCUCCUUGGGAUAGGAAGAGGAAAGAGCCAAACAGAGAUAAGCACUUUCUGGUUCAGAAAAACUCAAGGAAUCUUUUUUGGACUGUUCAGAACAGAGCGCCACAGCUGAGUUACAACUGAGGGGCAUAGGAAACCCUGAGUGGGACAACACAUUGUCCAUUGUCAUCCUGGCACUCAGAGUCCUGCUCAUGAAAAGUGUCACACUCAACAUUCUUCUGACAUUCCAGGCCUCCUUUCACUGCGGUUACCGGACCCUCCUGUCUGGAGAACCUCAUCUGCUUUCCUUCGUUUCUACUGGUCCUGAAUCAGUUGCUUCCCCGAUAUCUGGAACAAAGACUUUUUUCUGACUCAUUUCCUUAACAUUUACUAUUUGGGUUUGGAGGGUUGGGAAACUGGGGACAGUGGGACUGGGACUCGGGGUUCUGUCCAGAACCAGAUCCCUUGUCCUGAGAUUCUAUUCUGAGACCCAACCUAGAGGCCGGCACAAAUUUCUCUCUAUGGAACUUUUUUUGCCUCUAUUGGCUGGGGACUGGGAGCAGGGUCCUGAUUCUGGGGAGAGCAUUUAGAUUAUAGCUACAAGGAUCUAGGCUCGGCUAGGGACACAUCUGAUCUAUCCCUCCUUUCUUUUCACAGAUUCUGCCCAGCUCCAGAAUCCGGGGGUGACUGUCUUGUGCCCAAAGUCCAGGGAGCCUAGGUCUGUUCAGUCUCUCUAUAAUUCCUGCAACACGGGAGCGGGGCACAAGUAUCCCCCAAGGAAAUCCUCUCUCCAAUACAGUAGGGAGGGGUAACUUUCAGGGCACAUGGUCACUUGUGAUGAAAGAUCAAGGA